UAGGGAAUCUUCCGCAAUGGACGCAAGUCUGACGGAGCAACGCCGCGUGAGUGAAGAAGGAUUUCGGUUCGUAAAACUCUGUUGUUAGAGAAGAACAGCGCAUAGAGUAACUGUUAUGCGUGUGACGGUAUCUAACCAGAAAGCCACGGCUAACUACGUGCCAGCAGCCGCGGUAAUACGUAGGUGGCAAGCGUUAUCCGGAAUUAUUGGGCGUAAAGCGCGCGUAGGCGGUUUUUUAAGUCUGAUGUGAAAGCCCACGGCUCAACCGUGGAGGGUCAUUGGAAACUGGAAAACUUGAGUGCAGAAGAGGAGAGUGGAAUUCCAUGUGUAGCGGUGAAAUGCGUAGAUAUAUGGAGGAACACCAGUGGCGAAGGCGACUCUCUGGUCUGUAACUGACGCUGAGGCUCGAAAGCGUGGGUAGCAAACAGG
rnacentral:rRNA from 1 species